CCUACGGGCGGCAGCAGUGGGGAAUAUUGGACAAUGGGCGAAAGCCUGAUCCAGCCAUGCCGCGUGUGUGAAGAAGGCCUUCGGGUUGUAAAGCACUUUCAGUGGGGAAGAAAGCCUUGGGGCUAAUACCCUCGAGGAAGGACAUCACCCACAGAAGAAGCACCGGCUAACUCCGUGCCAGCAGCCGCGGUAAUACGGAGGGUGCGAGCGUUAAUCGGAAUUACUGGGCGUAAAGCGCGCGUAGGCGGUCUGAUAAGCCGGUUGUGAAAGCCCCGGGCUCAACCUGGGAACGGCAUCCGGAACUGUCAGGCUAGAGUGCAGGAGAGGAAGGUAGAAUUCCCGGUGUAGCGGUGAAAUGCGUAGAGAUCGGGAGGAAUACCAGUGGCGAAGGCGGCCUUCUGGACUGACACUGACGCUGAGGUGCGAAAGCGUGGGUAGCAAACAGGAUUAGAUACCCGAGUAUUC
rnacentral:rRNA from 1 species